rnacentral:rRNA from 1 species
UACGGGGGGGGCAAGCGUUGUUCGGAAUUACUGGGAGUAAAGGGCUCGUAGGCGGCCAACUAAGUCAGACGUGAAAUCCCUCGGCUUAACCGGGGAACUGCGUCUGAUACUGGAUGGCUUGAGUUUGGGAGAGGGAUGCGGAAUUCCAGGUGUAGCGGUGAAAUGCGUAGAUAUCGGAAGGAACAUCAGUGGCGAAAGCGACUUCCUGGACCAGUACCGACGUUCAGGCACGAAAGCGUGGGGAGCAAACAGG